rnacentral:rRNA from 1 species
CCUACGGGUGGCAGCAGUGGGGAAUAUUGCACAAUGGGGGAAACCCUGAUGCAGCGACGCCGCGUGAGUGAAGAAGUAUUUCGGUAUGUAAAGCUCUAUCAGCAGGGAAGAGAAUGACGGUACCUGAGUAAGAAGCCCCGGCUAACUACGUGCCAGCAGCCGCGGUAAUACGUAGGGGGCAAGCGUUAUCCGGAUUUACUGGGUGUAAAGGGAGCGUAGACGGCGAAGAAAGUCUGACGUGAAAGCCCGCGGCUCAACCGCGGAACUGCUUUGGAAACUUUUUUGCUGGAGUACCGGAGAGGUAAGCGGAAUUCCUAGUGUAGCGGUGAAAUGCGUAGAUAUCAGGAGGAACACCGGCGGCGAAGGCGGCCUGCUGGACUGAAACUGACGUUGAGGCUCGAAAGCGUGGGGAGCAAACAGGAUUAGAUACCCUUGUAGUC